AUGUACGACAGUUAGUAUUUGUACCACCUCAGAACUGUACCACAGUUUGACAGAAACCUAUAACCUAUAAUUUACGGUGGCUGUACAGAUAUUUUCAGGAAAGAAUGUUAAAUGACACAUUAUAUAAUUUCUAACAUAUAGGCCAAGACGCCGCAAACCCUGACCAGGAUAGGCGGUUGUAAGACGGAUGGGGAAGGAGACAGCGACAGGACGAUUACAUAAUUAUUUCAAAAUCCUUGUAAAAGCUUACAAGGGACCUGAAAAUAGUCAUGAAAAGCCACCCCCACUCCACCAGGAUUUGGCCCUCCAAAGACAAUAAUCGGCCAGACCUGAUUUUCCCACUCAGCCAGUGCAUGGUGGCGAUGAGCCAUCAGGAAAUACACAUAAACAGCACAUUUGUGCAUAGAUGUUUGAUAAAGUGGCUGUCGCUGGACAAGUGGGGGAACAAGGAGAAGAAGCAGCUGUUCCUGAUGCAUCAUAAUGCUGAGGAAUGGAUUUGUGUUGACUAAGGGCCGAAUAAAAUCCAAACUCAACCACUUGCUAAACACAAAUUAUAUAGUAAAUGUUAUCAGUGGUUUGGUUUAGGGUCAGAGUUGUAGGAUUUUCAUUUUAUUUUAUUUGUUUAGAUUUUGAAAGUCAGUGCUUUCAUUUUGUCUGCCUUAACUUUAAUUGCACUAAUUGCACACAUUUUGUUAAAAUAUUUUAUUAGAUGGAGAAAUAUUUCUAACAUGCAGAGUGUCUUCUCGUCAAUGAAUGAAAAUGUUGAU